ensembl:lincRNA
UCUGUCUCUUAUUAGCUGUGUGAUUGUGGGCAGGGUAAGCCUCUCGUCCUCGCUGCAAAAUGAGCUCCUCACAGCACCUAUCACUAGCGCAAUUGUGAGCAUUAAAUAAAAUAACAUAGGCAGCAGCACUCAGGUUCGCCUCCCAGUCCAAGUACACUAAGUGGUAGUUACCACGGCGGGAGGGGCGGGGCGCUGUCCAUGCACGCGCAUGCGCGUCCCCGCGUGCGCGCGCUUCAGGUAAGAGGGCCGAGCAGGUCCGCGUUCGGAGGCCUGUCUGGGGGCUCUCUGGUGCGACGACUGUGGUGGCGUUUUUCAUGGGGAAGCUCUCGGCAGAGUUCUGGGGCCAUGCGGCGGUCUCCCGAGUGUCGCUGUCUGCAGUUCGCCGGAGGCGAGCGUUUCCGGGUCGGUCGGUGACCUUGGCUCGGCAGCCGGGCCGUGCGGCCUGCGCUGCCCGCGGGUGUCGGCCGCAGGCCCGGCCCAAGCGUUCUGGGGGCCACGGGCCGGGGCGGCCGGGGGUUCCAGAGGACCGGGCGAGCGGGGGCCGAGGGCCGUGGGUCGCCAGCGAAGGCCGCCGUCCUCGGCCUCUGCUGCUUGCUCGGUUCCCGGCCGUGGGAACCUGGAAGAAGCUGCUGCUGUUAAGGAGACCCAGGGAGAGACGGGGUCUUACUCUUUCUCAGGCUGGUCUUGAACUCCUGAACUCAAGCGAUUCUCCUGCCUUUGCCUCCCAGAGUGCUGCGAGUAGGCGUGAGCCACUAUACCCGGUCACGUGUACAUAUAUAUUUUUAAAAGGUAAAUGCUUUAUUAUAGUGUUAUUUGGACUUUUAUUUCUUUGAACCCUUAGCAUCACCCCCUCACAAAAAAACAAAAUUUUACAAGGAUUCCUUAAAUUAUGGAAUAGGCUGCAGGCAGGCUUUGUUUUAUUCACCUCUUGGACAUUAAAAAUAACCCCAAGAGCGCUAUCUGUAUUUAGCAUGACUCAUAUCUGUCAGUAAUGUACCACAUUGUAAUGAACAGAGCAAAACAAUUCUCUCUUCCCACCUAUCCACAGGUCUCUAGGUACUAUAUGGGUUCUUUUGUAACUUCCUUUGUUUCAUUUCUUUUUUUUUUUUUUUGAGACAGAAUCUCACUUUGUUGCCCAGGUUAGAGUGAGUGCCAUGGUGUCAGCCUAGCUCACAGCAACCUCAAACUCCUGGGCUCAAGCAAUCCUGCUGCCUCAGCCUCCCAAGUAGCGGGGACUACAGGCAUGUACCACCGUGCGGGCUAAUUUUUUCUAUGUAUAUCAGUUGGCCAAUUAAUUUCUUUCUAUUUAUGAUAGAGAUGGGAUCUCGCUCUUGCUCAGGCUGGUUUCGAACUCCUGACCUCGAGCAAUCCACCCACCUCAGCCUCCCAGAGUACUAGGAUUACAUGCGUGAGCCACCGCGCCUGGCCUGCUUCAUUUCUUUUAUGUAAGAAAUUAAGUUUUAAUCUUUUGGUCCCCAGGGUAAUCACAUUAUCAAAAUGAGAAAAGGGAAUAUUUGGGAGGAGGGACACCUGGUAAGGAUAUUACUAGGAUAAUCCUACAAAAAGAGGGUAUUUGAUUACCUCUGCUCUCAGGCAUUGUGAAGAGGAGUUAGAAGGGAAUGGGGUAAAUGCCUGACAGUCUGAGAUAAAAACUAGUGGUUCUCCUGUUCUUGACUUCAGGGCUACAGGGAGGCUGAGUAAAAACUUGGGUUUACAUUUCAUAUAUUCAGUAAGAGUUAAAUAUUCUAUUUUCUUAAUUUGUUAUGUAGCCCUUUUCCUUGUUUAG